UCAAUGUGUGAAUCAGGUUAGGAUUAGCUCCUUGUCUGAGUUGUGCACUAUAGACGGCGGAUCAGCGCUUGAGAGGUCGAGGUGGAUAUCCGAUGAAACUCGGUGCCAUUGAGGGUCAUAGUCCUGUACUUGCCUUGUUACCUCUUGCGCAUUUGACCGACGUUCUGCGAGUCGCGUAGUUUUGUAUUGCUGCGCUAAUUGGGAGGUAGAGCCCUUCUAAAGCUAAAUAUGAUGACGUGACCGAUAGCACACAAGUACCGCGAGGGAAAGGUGAAAAGCAACCAUGCAGAAUGGGUUGAAACAGAAGUGAAAGCGCUACUGGGAUAAGGGCUGGGAAUUGCUUGUGUCAUUUGCGCGUGCUUUAGUGCUGUGCUUGUGAACGGCAUGCUUCAGUUAGGAUGGGGAGAACAGGGCCUUGGGAAUUCGGCUAGAUCCGUCUAGUGUUGUAGCCCUGGUGCCAAUGGAGCCCCUUCUGACUUUUGAGUGUCUUGCGAUUGUCAGCCGCCCGUCUUGAAACACGGACCAAGGAGUGCACCUUGCAUGCAAGUCAAAGGGACUGUAAUCCUGGAGGCGUAGCGAAAGCGAAGGCCACGAACCCGUAAGGUGUCGGUGGCACCCGCCUUGUGUGAGGUAGAGCAUGUAGGGUGCGACCCGAAAGAUGGUGAACUAUGCCCGGGUAAGGUGAAGCCAGUGGAAACGCUGGUGGAGGCCUGUAGCGGUUCUGACGUGCAGAUCGAUCGUGUAACCUGGGUAUAGGGGCGAAAGACCUAUCGAACCGUCUAAUGGCUGGUUCCCCCCGAAGUUUCCCUCAGGAUAGC
rnacentral:rRNA from 1 species